rnacentral:rRNA from 1 species
GCCUGAUCCAGCCAUCCCGCGUGAAGGACGACGCCCUAUGGGUUGUAAACUUCUUUUGUACAGGGAUAAACCUUUCCACGUGUGGGAAGCUGAAGGUACUGUACGAAUAAGCACCGGCUAACUCCGUGCCAGCAGCCGCGGUAAUACGGAGGGUGCAAAGCGUUAUCCGGAUUUAUUGGGUUUAAAGGGUCCGUAGGCGGACUCGUAAGUCAGUGGUGAAAUCUCACAGCUUAACUGUGAAACUGCCAUUGAUACUGCGGGUCUUGAGUGUUGUUGAAGUAGCUGGAAUAAGUAGUGUAGCGGUGAAAUGCAUAGAUAUUACUUAGAACACCAAUUGCGAAGGCAGGUUACUAAGCAACAACUGACGCUGAUGGACGAAAGCGUGGGGAGCGAACAGGAUUAGAUACCCUGGUAGUCCACGCCGUAAACGAUGCUAACUCGUUUUUGGGUCUUUAAGAUUCAGAGACUAAGCGAAAGUGAUAAGUUAGCCACCUGGGGAGUACGUUCGCAAGAAUGAAACUCAAAGGAAUUGACGGGGGCCCGCACAAGCGGUGGAUUAUGUGGUUUAAUUCGAUGAUACGCGAGGAACCUUACCAAGGCUUAAAUGGGAAUUGAUGGGUUUAGAAAUAGACCGUCCUUCGGGCAAUUUUCAAGGUGCUGCAUGGUUGUCGUCAGCUCGUGCCGUGAGGUGUUAGGUUAAGUCCUGCAACGAGCGCAACCCCUGUCACUAGUUGCCAUCAUUCAGUUGGGGACUCUAGUGAGACUGCCUACGCAAGUAGAGAGGAAGGUGGGGAUGACGUCAAAUCAUCACGGCCCUUACGCCUUGGGCCACACACGUAAUACAAUGGCCGGUACAGAGGGCAGCUACACAGCGAUGUGAUGCAAAUCUCGAAAGCCGGUCUCAGUUCGGAUUGGAGUCUGCAACUCGACUCUAUGAAGCUGGAAUCGCUAGUAAUCGCGCAU